CAGUAGCCGCGGUAAAACGUAGGGUGCAAGCGUUAAUCGGAAUUACUGGGCGUAAAGCGUGCGCAGGCGGUUUGUUAAGACAGAUGUGAAAUCCCCGGGCUCAACCUGGGAACUGCAUUUGUGACUGGCAAGCUAGAGUGUGGCAGAGGGGGGUGGAAUUCUGCGUGUAGCAGUGAAAUGCGUAGAUAUGCGGAGGAACACCGAUGGCGAAGGCAGCCCCCUGGGCCAACACUGACGCUCAUGCACGAAAGCGUGGGGAGCAAACAGGAUUAGAUACCCCAGUAGUCCCUGUCUCUUAUAA
rnacentral:rRNA from 1 species